UUCAAACAUGGCGGGCGAGCAGCGCGCGUGAGUGCGCAUGUGCGAAGUGCAGGAACGAUCACCUCCGAGGAUAGGGGGAUAGCACAGAGAUGUGGCACUCCAUGGGUGGGCAGAUCUCCACUGAAUUCCUUCCCAGCUGGUGAAGGGUAAAGCAAGGAGCCCACGCGCAUCGGGAGCGUGAGAUUGGCUGGGAGACACUGCUGGUGUGCCCGGCCACUUGGAACUGAUUUCAGCAGCUCUGACAUCCAGGGGGAGAGCAGGAAGUAAAGUACGCCCUGGGAUUAAGUGGGGGAUUCCACGCAGCAAAUAAAGUCCAAGGGACCUGGAUCAGAAGUGAAUAAAUGAGCUGUUAAGCCCUGCAGCCAGUAAGUUGGGGAGCAGACAGAAUCAAGUGCGCUGCAUUCAGUUGCAUCUCUGUGUGUUUGCGUAUUCAUAUGGAUGGGAUGGAGGAGCUGGGCUGCGAAGGCAGACUGCAGGCAGGAUGGAUGCGAAUAGAGGAAUACGGUGGAGCAAUGUGUGUAUUCAUGAUUGGGUCUGGCAGUGCUCUGCAUGAGGUCCAGCAGAGAGACAGAACAUCUGCAAAGUCCAAUUAUUGGCAAAAACCAGUGGAGGAAGAAUAAGGAGCUCUCAGCUGUUGACCUUAGUGGUAGAUAAUGCUGACUGUUCGUUGGUCACAGCUUCUGGAGUUGGAAGAGAUCCCUGCAUGCCAGGGUACGCUGGCAUUUUAUGGCCUCUUAAAUGUGCGGGGAGCCAAGGCUGUCUUGUGAUGCUCUGGGUGGAGAAAGACAAAUGAGCCAGUUAGGAGAGAGUAACAAGGACUUAUGGCCCAGCUUGUAAUUUGGAGCCUUCUGUAAGUUUGCAGCUACCUUAUCUAAGAAAAGGGCAGAGGGUGAGUGAAGCAGAUGGUUUAAAAGCAAAACCAUAGGAAGGUGCCACCUUUAAUAGCUGUAGAUGAAAAGGGCAGUAAAAGUGACCAGCUGCUUCUUAGCUGUUCUUAACCUCCAAGCAGCUUCUCUCCAGCUGAGCCUGACCAACAAACUGCUCGUGCAUCUUGCUGUUAGUUUCCUAGUAGCUUCAGCUCUCUGAGUGUUACUACAAAUAAACGUCUGCAGUCCACAGCCAAUAUGAGAAGAAACAAAAACCCCAAUGACAAAGGUAGAAUAAUGGAAAGGAGGAAAUGGGUCCUGGCAGAGCAUUAACGGUCCUCCAAGCAGGUCUGCAGUGAGCUGAGACCUUGCUUUGUGAGGCACUGGAAGGGAAGUGGAAUGGCAAGGAAAUAGAGUGGAGCCUAUGAGGAGCAAAACUGGAUGUGGGGAAGGAUGACUAUGUGGAGGUGAAUGUAAGGCAAACGCAGCUAGGGGGAGUUGUACAGAGUCAGCAUGCAGUGGAUGAAGCCAUAUUCAGAGAAAGAAUGAUGUGGAAAGCAAAUAUACAGCUAUGCUUUGCAAGAAAGGCCUUGUUAAAAUCUCUCCCCAAAACCUAACUAUCUGACCGUGGGGCUGAACCUGCAUUCUGUCACUUUCAGAUUGCAGCCAAGCUCAGCAUUAAGUGAAUUUGGUGCUAUCCUAUGCCCCAGAGAGAAAUGAGUCAGGAGCUGGCGCUCACAUCCCCCAAAACAUUAUUUCUACCAGACGUGGUGGCUUUUAGCUUUGGGGUUAAAUAAGCCUGAUGCACUCUAUGUCACUAUGGAGAUGACUGCAGGAGAGCAGGCUUGGUUCAGCAAGGUCCUAGCUGAGAAGAGGCUCUAACACUCAAAU